UCACCCAGGGCUCCUGUUAUGGACGCUGUAUUUUCUUUUGCUGUUCCUUUAUCUCCUCAGGACUUGACCUCUGCUCUAACCAAGAAGAUUACUCUGAAGACCCCCUUGGUUUCCUCACCUAUGGACACUGUCACGGAGGCUGGAAUGGCCAUCGCAAUGGCGCUUACAGGAGGCAUUGGCUUCAUCCACCACAACUGCACACCUGAAUUCCAGGCCAAUGAAGUUCGGAAAGUGAAGGUUAGAAGGGCAAAAAUCAUGGCCAAGAGUUCCUGGGAAUUACAGGCGUGGGGUGGGAGUGGAGGGUUUGUUUUGCUAAGCGUCCUCUCCUCGUGCUGUGAGGUUCAGUAAGGAAGACCUAGACCCCAUGUCGUAAGCUGGUGCACAGUGCUUCCAGAGACCUCUGUCCUUGUUUGAGGGUUUGAUUUGGUUCUGUGGCUCUGCUGUACAGGACAGUUGGGCAUGGGCCUGAUGACAGUGAUUUCAAAGAUGCAGUGACCUUCUCACCAUACCUUCCAGAAAUAUGAACAGGGAUUCAUCACUGACCCUGUGGUCCUUAGCCCCAAGGAUCGUGUGCGCGAUGUUUUUGAGGCCAAAGCCAGGCAUGGCUUCUGUGGUAUCCCCAUCACAGAUACCGGCCGGAUGGGGAGUCGAUUGGUGGGCAUCAUCUCC
rnacentral:lncRNA from 1 species